rnacentral:rRNA from 1 species
GCGACGCCGCGUGAGGGAUGAAGGCCUUCGGGUUGUAAACCUCUUUCAGUAGGGAAGAAGCGAAAGUGACGGUACCUGCAGAAGAAGCGCCGGCUAACUACGUGCCAGCAGCCGCGGUAAUACGUAGGGCGCAAGCGUUGUCCGGAAUUAUUGGGCGUAAAGAGCUCGUAGGCGGUUUGUCGCGUCUGGUGUGAAAACUCAAGGCUCAACCUUGAGCUUGCAUCGGGUACGGGCAGACUAGAGUGUGGUAGGGGUGACUGGAAUUCCUGGUGUAGCGGUGGAAUGCGCAGAUAUCAGGAGGAACACCGAUGGCGAAGGCAGGUCACUGGGCCACUACUGACGCUGAGGAGCGAAAGCAUGGGGAGCGAACAGGAUUAGAUACCCUGGUAGUCCAUGCCGUAAACGUUGGGCACUAGGUGUGGGGCUCAUUCCACGAGUUCCGCGCCGCAGCUAACGCAUUAAGUGCCCCGCCUGGGGAGUACGGCCGCAAGGCUAAAACUCAAAGGAAUUGACGGGGGCCCGCACAAGCGGCGGAGCAUGCGGAUUAAUUCGAUGCAACGCGAAGAACCUUACCAAGGCUUGACAUACACCGGAAUCAUGCAGAGAUGUGUGCGUCUUCGGACUGGUGUACAGGUGGUGCAUGGUUGUCGUCAGCUCGUGUCGUGAGAUGUUGGGUUAAGUCCCGCAACGAGCGCAACCCUCGUCCUAUGUUGCCAGCACGUUAUGGUGGGGACUCAU